UACGUAGGGGGCAAGCGUUGUCCGGAAUCAUUGGGCGUAAAGCGCGUGUAGGCGGCCAGAAAAGUCCGCUGUGAAAACUCGAGGCUCAACUUCGAGCUGUCGGUGGAAACUUUCUGGCUAGAGUCCGGAAGAGGAGAAUGGAAUUCCUGGUGUAGCGGUGAAAUGCGCAGAUAUCAGGAAGAACACCCGUGGCGAAGGCGGCUCUCUGGGACGGUACUGACGCUAAGGCGCGAAAGCGUGGGGAGCGAACAGG
rnacentral:rRNA from 1 species